GGGGCCGAGUGGUUAAGGCGAUGGACUAGAAAUUCAACGGCGUCUCCCCGCACAGGUUCGAGUCCUGUCGACUGUG
rnacentral:tRNA from 1 species